rnacentral:rRNA from 1 species
UAGGGAAUCUUCGGCAAUGGACGAAAGUCUGACCGAGCAACGCCGCGUGAGUGAAGAAGGUUUUCGGAUCGUAAAACUCUGUUGUUAGAGAAGAACAAGGACGUUAGUAACUGAACGUCCCCUGACGGUAUCUAACCAGAAAGCCACGGCUAACUACGUGCCAGCAGCCGCGGUAAUACGUAGGUGGCAAGCGUUGUCCGGAUUUAUUGGGCGUAAAGCGAGCGCAGUCGGUUGCUUAAGUCUGAUGUGAAAGCCCCCGGCUGAACCGGGGAGGGUAAUUGGAAACUGGGGGACUUGAAUGCAGAAGAGGAGAGUGGAAAUACAUGUGUUGCGGUGAAAUGCGUAGAUAUAUGGAGGAACACCCGUGGCGAAGGCGGCUCUCUGGUCUGUAACUGACGCUGAGGCUCGAAAGCGUGGGGAGCAAACAGG